rnacentral:rRNA from 1 species
UACGGGGGGAGCAAGCGUUGUUCGGAUUUACUGGGCGUAAAGGGCGCGUAGGCGGUCCGAUAAGUCCCGUGUGAAAUCCCUCGGCUCAACUGAGGAAUGGCACGGGAAACUGACGGGCUUGAGUUCGGGAGAGGGAAGCGGAAUUCCGGGUGUAGCGGUGAAAUGCGUAGAUAUCCGGAGGAACACCGGUGGCGAAGGCGGCAUCCUGGGCCGGUAUUGACGCUGAGGAGCGAAAGCCAGGGGAGCAAACGGG